CACGUAGGGCGCAAGCGUUGUCCGGAAUUAUUGGGCGUAAAGAGCUCGUAGGCGGUCUGUUGCGUCCGCUGUGAAAACCCGGGGCUUAACCCCUGGCUUGCAGUGGAUACGGACAGACUAGAGGUAGGUAGGAGAGAAUGGAAUUCCCGGUGUAGCGGUGAAAUGCGCAGAUAUCGGGAGGAACACCGGUGGCGAAGGCGGUUCUCUGGGCCUUACCUGACGCUGAGGAGCGAAAGCGUGGGGAGCGAACAGG
rnacentral:rRNA from 1 species